UACAGAGGGUGCGAGCGUUGUCCGGAAUCACUGGGCGUAAAGAGCUCGUAGGUGGUUUGUCGCGUUGUUCGUGAAAACUCACAGCUCAACUGUGGGCGUGCGGGCGAUACGGGCAGACUUGAGUACUGCAGGGGAGACUGGAAUUCCUGGUGUAGCGGUGGAAUGCGCAGAUAUCAGGAGGAACACCGGUGGCGAAGGCGGGUCUCUGGGCAGUAACUGACGCUGAGGAGCGAAAGCGUGGGGAGCGAACAGG
rnacentral:rRNA from 1 species